CUACGGGAGGCAGCAGUGGGGAAUCUUCCACAAUGGGCGAAAGCCUGAUGGAGCAACGCCGCGUGCAGGAUGAAGGCCCUCGGGUCGUAAACUGCUUUUAUGAGUGAAGAAUAUGACGGUAACUCAUGAAUAAGCACCGGCUAACUACGUGCCAGCAGCCGCGGUCAUACGUAGGGUGCAAGCAUUAUCCGGAGUGACUGGGCGUAAAGAGUUGCGUAGGCGGUUAGUAAAGCGAAUAGUGAAACCUGGUGGCUCAACCAUCAGACUAUUGUUCGAACUCACUAACUCGAGAAUGGUAGAGGUAACUGGAAUUUCUUGUGUAGGAGUGAAAUGCGUAGAUAUAAGAAGGAACACCAAUGGCGUAGGCAGGUUACUGGACCAAUACUGACGCUGAGGCACGAAAGCGUGGGGAGCGAACCGGAUUAGAUACCCUUGUAGUCC
rnacentral:rRNA from 1 species